rnacentral:rRNA from 1 species
GACGAACGCUGGCGGCGUGCUUAACACACGCAAGUCGAACGGAAAGGCUCCAGCUUGCUGGAGUACUCGAGUGGCGAACGGGUGAGUAACACGUGGGUAAUCUGCCCUGCACUCUGGGAUAAGCCUGGGAAACUGGGUCUAAUACUGGAUAUGACCUUUCUCCUUAUGGGGUUUGGUGGAAAGUUUUUCGGUGUAGGAUGAGCCCGCGGCCUAUCAGCUUGUUGGUGGGGUGAUGGCCUACCAAGGCGACGACGGGUAGCCGGCCUGAGAGGGUGAUCGGCCACAUUGGGACUGAGAUACGGCCCAGACUCCUACGGGAGGCAGCAGUGGGGAAUAUUGCACAAUGGGCGGAAGCCUGAUGCAGCGACGCCGCGUGAGGGAUGACGGCCUUCGGGUUGUAAACCUCUUUCAGCAGGGACGAAGCGUAAGUGACGGUACCUGCAGAAGAAGCACCGGCUAACUAUGUG